GCCGAAAUAGCUCAGUUGGGAGAGCGGUAGACUGAAGGUCUAAAGGUCCCUGGUUCAGUACCGGGUUUCGGCA
rnacentral:tRNA from 1 species